rnacentral:rRNA from 1 species
ACUCCUACGGGAGGCAGCAGUGGGGAAUAUUGCACAAUGGAGGAAACUCUGAUGCAGCAACGCCGCGUGGAGGAUGACGCAUUUCGGUGUGUAAACUCCUUUUAUAAGGGAAGAUAAUGACGGUACCUUAUGAAUAAGCACCGGCUAACUCCGUGCCAGCAGCCGCGGUAAUAC